AUUGAACGCUGGCGGCAUGCCUUACACAUGCAAGUCGAACGGCAGCACGGGGGCAACCCUGGUGGCGAGUGGCGAACGGGUGAGUAAUAUAUCGGAACGUGCCCUAGAGUGGGGGAGUAACGUAGCGAAAGUUACGCUAAUACCGCAUACGAUCUAUGGAUGAAAGUGGGGGAUCGCAAGACCUCAUGCUCGUGGAGCGGCCGAUAUCUGAUUAGCAGUUGGUAGGGUAAAGCCUACCAAGGCAUCGAUCAGUAGCUGGUUUGAGAGAACGACCAGCCACACUGGGACUGAGACACGGCCCAGACUCCUACGGGAGGCAGCAGUGGGAAUUUUGGACAAUGGGGCAACCCUGAUCCAGCAAUGCCGCGUGAGUGAAGAAGGCCUUC
rnacentral:rRNA from 1 species